rnacentral:rRNA from 1 species
CCUACGGGAGGCAGCAGUGGGGAAUAUUGGGCAAUGGGCGCAAGCCUGACCCAGCAACGCCGCGUGAAGGAAGAAGGCUUUCGGGUUGUAAACUUCUUUUCUCAGGGACGAAGCAAGUGACGGUACCUGAGGAAUAAGCCACGGCUAACUACGUGCCAGCAGCCGCGGUAAUACGUAGGUGGCAAGCGUUAUCCGGAUUUACUGGGUGUAAAGGGCGUGUAGGCGGGAAAGCAAGUCAGAUGUGAAAACCAUGGGCUCAACCUGUGGCCUACAUUUGAAACUGUUUUUCUUGAGUACUGGUGAGGCAGACGGAAUUCCUAGUUUAGCGGUGAAAUGCGUAGAUAUUAGGAGGAACACCAGUGGCGAAGGCGGUCUGCUGGACAGCAACUGACGCUGAGGCGCGAAAGCGUGGGGAGCAAACAGGAUUAGAUACCCCGGUAGUC